rnacentral:rRNA from 1 species
UUGAACGCUGGCGGCAGGCCUAACACAUGCAAGUCGAGCGGUAGCACAGAGAGCUUGCUCUCGGGUGACGAGCGGCGGACGGGUGAGUAAUGUCUGGGAAACUGCCUGAUGGAGGGGGAUAACUACUGGAAACGGUAGCUAAUACCGCAUAAUGUCGCAAGACCAAAGUGGGGGACCUUCGGGCCUCAUGCCAUCAGAUGUGCCCAGAUGGGAUUAGCUAGUAGGUGGGGUAACGGCUCACCUAGGCGACGAUCCCUAGCUGGUCUGAGAGGAUGACCAGCCACACUGGAACUGAGACACGGUCCAGACUCCUACGGGAGGCAGCAGUGGGGAAUAUUGCACAAUGGGCGCAAGCCUGAUGCAGCCAUGCCGCGUGUGUGAAGAAGGCCUUCGGGUUGUAAAGCACUUUCAGCGGGGAGGAAGGCGUUAAGGUUAAUAACCUUGGCGAUUGACGUUACCCGCAGAAGAAGCACCGGCUAACUCCGUGCCAGCAGCCGCGGUAAUACGGAGGGUGCAAGCGUUAAUCGGAAUUACUGGGCGUAAAGCGCACGCAGGCGGUCUGUCAAGUCGGAUGUGAAAUCCCCGGGCUCAACCUGGGAACUGCAUUCGAAACUGGCAGGCUAGAGUCUUGUAGAGGGGGGUAGAAUUCCAGGUGUAGCGGUGAAAUGCGUAGAGAUCUGGAGGAAUACCGGUGGCGAAGGCGGCCCCCUGGACAAAGACUGACGCUCAGGUGCGAAAGCGUGGGAGCAAACAGGAUUAGAUACCCUGGUAGUCCACGCCGUAAACGAUGUCGAUUUGGAGGUUGUGCCCUUGAGGCGUGGCUUCCGGAGCUAACGCGUUAAAUCGACCGCCUGGGGAGUACGGCCGCAAGGUUAAAACUCAAAUGAAUUGACGGGGGCCCGCACAAGCGGUGGAGCAUGUGGUUUAAUUCGAUGCAACGCGAAGAACCUUACCUGGUCUUGACAUCCACAGAACUUUCCAGAGAUGGAUUGGUGCCUUCGGUAACUGUGGGACAGGUGCUGCAUGGCUGUCGUCAGCUCGUGUUGUGAAAUGUUGGGUUAAGUCCCGCAACGAGCGCAACCCUUAUCCUUUGUUGCCAGCGGUUAGGCCGGGAACUCAAAGGAGACUGCCAGUGAUAAACUGGAGGAAGGUGGGGAUGACGUCAAGUCAUCAUGGCCCUUACGACCAGGGCUACACACGUGCUACAAUGGCAUAUACAAAGAGAAGCGACCUCGCGAGAGCAAGCGGACCUCAUAAAGUAUGUCGUAGUCCGGAUUGGAGUCUGCAACUCGACUCCAUGAAGUCGGAAUCGCUAGUAAUCGUAGAUCAGAAUGCUACGGUGAAUACGUUCCCGGGCCUUGUACACACCGCCCGUCACACCAUGGGAGUGGGUUGCAAAAGAAGUAGGUAGCUUAACCUUCGGGAGGGCGCUUACCACUUUGUGAUUCAUGACUGGGGUG